rnacentral:rRNA from 1 species
UACGGAGGGUGCGAGCGUUGUCCGGAAUCACUGGGCGUAAAGGGCGCGUAGGCGGCUACGCACGUCCGUUGUGAAAUCGCUCGGCUCAACUGGGCGGGGUCAGCGGAUACGGCGUAGCUGGAGCAAGCUAGGGGGCAAUGGAAUUCCCGGUGUAGUGGUGGAAUGCGUAGAUAUCGGGAGGAACACCAGUGGCGAAGGCGGUUGCCUGGAGCUUUGCUGACGCUGAUGCGCGAAAGCGUGGGGAGCGAUCCGG